rnacentral:rRNA from 1 species
CAGCCGUAAACUAUGCUCGCUAGGUGUCAGGCAUGGCGCGACCGUGUCUGGUGCCGCAGGGAAGCCGUGAAGCGAGCCACCUGGGAAGUACGGCCGCAAGGCUGAAACUUAAAGGAAUUGGCGGGGGAGCACAACAACGGGUGGAGCCUGCGGUUUAAUUGGACUCAACGCCGAAAAACUCACCAGCAGCGACUGUUACAUGAAAGUCAGGUUGAUGACCUUACUAGAUUUUUCAGAGAGGAGGUGCAUGGCGUAGACGUCU